rnacentral:lncRNA from 1 species
AAAAAUUCAUCCACGUAUCACUCCACAUUUUCACCACAUUGUGAACCAAUCACUUUACAUGCAUUUUUCUCUCAUGAAAUAAAUUUGCCAAAACUCAAGAUCAGAUCAUUCACAGAAAAUCCAAUUAUCAUCAGCUUUCUUUCCUCUCCAAAAAUUCAUUCAAAUCACAAGCAUCUCUUCAAGAAAGUACACAGUCUGUAAGUAUAUUUCUCAAGUGCUUUUUUUUCCAAUGCAUAAGAAAAGACUGAAUUUUUGCAUAAGAAAGAUUGAUUUUUUUUUAAGAAAAGAUUAAAAAUUUCUCAACACCAUUUCAAAUGAAUUAGAAGACUAGAAUGUGAUAGAGUGUUUUGAGAUGAUUUGGGGAGGGGUGUUGGGCGGCGAUUUUUAGCCGGAGAAGGAGAGCAGCAUCGGCUGCUCGGCGUGGCAGGAGGAGGCGGCGUCGGCCACGGCGCCGGCGCUGUCACGGCGCUGCUGCUGUCGACACGGCGCCGGCGGUGCCAGAUCUGCAGGAAAGGAGGGGCAGCGGCGCUGCUCCGUGCAGGGACGGCGGAGGCAGCUGCUGCUGCCGGUCAAGAGGGAGACGGGUGAAGGGGAGGCGGCGGCUGCUGCUGUGCUGCGGUCGACGCGGCGCCGGCGGUGGUUUCCGCUGCCAUCGACGGAGAAGAGGGAGAGAUGAGGAGAAGAGAGAGGGCUGGGGGAAGAGAGAGAAGUCGGAGGAGAGAGAGAGGGGCCGGCCUCCGUCGGGCGGCGCCGCCGUCCGGCGGCGGCGGCAGUAGCGUGAGAGGGAGAUGAGGCUGAGAGGGUGAGUAGGAGGAGGUUGGCGGCGGCGGUGGUGGUCCUUCGCCGUUGACCGUCCAACCGAGAAAAAGAGAUGGGAAGGGUAGAUUUGCAGAUUUUGGGGAUUUCCUCUUUGAGAGAGAGAGAUGGCGAAGAGAGGAGGAGAAGGGAAGGUGUUCUGGUAUUGGUGAGAGAGAAAUGGGGGGGAGACGUAGAGAGGGAGAAAUAAGGGGGGUUUUGACUUAUGGAAUUUUGGGGUUGUUUGUUUUUAAUUAAGUUGGGCCUAUACUUUUAAUUUAAGAUGGGCCUUAUUUUAUCAAAGAGUUCAGCUGUAUUUUGUUAAGAUUUUUGGCUGAUUUAAAUUCUUUAAAUCAUGCUCUACUUAAAUUAUUUAGUCGAGUCUUGAUUAAUUUGAAUAAUGAUUUAAUGGUCUGAUUAAUUAGGCUCUAUAAUUUGAGUUUGAUUGAUUAUUCUUAUGUGUAUAAUUAUUUACUUUAUGUGAUCUUGAGAUAUAAUAUGAAUUUGCAUAGUGAAUAAUGCAAUAAAAGUAUUUUUAUAAAUUCCAUUUUUUUUAAAGAUUUCCAAUUGAGUUUUGAAAAUUCGGGCGCAGAAUAUUAAGAUUUAGCAGCUUUGUAGAAUCGUUAGUUCAUGCGAUAUUUUAAGGCCUAUUAAGAUUAGAUUAUCUUGUAGGUCCACUUGAUAGAAGGCUUUAGCAUUGGCUUUACAAGGCAAGAGAAUUUGUGCAUCUUUUAAUCUACAGGCUUGUCCUAUCGAGGUGGGUUUUUAUUUUCCAAUGUAUGUUUUGAGUUAUUGAGCUCUAAAUUGUUUUAAUGCUAUUGUAAAUGAAUGUCCAUGUUAAAAUGUUUUUAUCUCUCUAUUGUUUAAAGUGCUCCUAUGUUCUCUAACGAUCGGGUCCUAGCCGGCGUAGCGAUUAGAUCGCCUUGGACAGGAUGUGUACACACAAAGGGGUAUUGUGGGCUGCUCCCACUUGCCUCAGACUGUCAGACUUGGGCUGCUCCCAUUUCUGAAACAUGCAUGGUAGUGCACCUCUAUAGGCUGCUCCCACAUGUUCACAUUAUAGGUGAAGCACCAAUAGAGAGAAGACUGGAAAUGGAUCCACAAAUUUAUUUUAAGUAUGCAUGGAAUGCUUUCAAAUAUUUCUAUGUUAUACUGUUCAUAGCAUGGAUUAUUCUUUUAAAUGGAUUUUCAAAUGUUUUCAAAUGGCUAAACCCACUGAGUAUAUUAGUACUCAGCCCUGCAAUUGUUUUCAAAACCUUUUGCAGGUUGAGCGGCAGGUGGUGUCGUGCGAGGCUGAGGGAGGAUGUUGCUGUAGUUUCAUAUAAUAAUUUCCGCUGCCAUAAUAUUCACUUAGGUGGAUAUCUUUUGAGAAUGACUCUUUAAAUAGUCUUAGCCUAAUUAUUAUGAACUCUUUUGGCAAUCGCAUUUCUAGCAAUUGAACCUCGCAUAUAUGAAUGUCUAGUAUGAAGUGUUAUCUUGUUGUCUCAGACCUCCGAACUUUUGAUCCUGGUUGGGAAGAUUUCUAUCCUAAUUGUUGUAUUUAUUAUCCUUCAAUUGCGGCACUCCUUUAUUAACAAUGUAUUACCCGAAUCUAAGAACAUAUCACCCAUUUUAUUCUAACAAAGUCUAGCAAAUCC